UCCGGUCUAAGUUCUCUGGAACGAGACGUCAUAGAGGGUGAGAAUCCCGUAUGUGACCGGCGGCCUGUGCCCAUGUGAAGCUCCUUCGACGAGUCGAGUUGUUUGGGAAUGCAGCUCAAAAUGGGUGGUGUACUCCAUCUAAAGCUAAAUAUUGGCCAGAGACCGAUAGCGCACAAGUAGAGUGAUCGAAAGAUGAAAAGCACUUUGGAAAGAGAGUUAAACAGUACGUGAAAUUGUUGAAAGGGAAGCGCUUGCAAUCAGACUUGCGCGGCGUCGAUCAGCCUGGGUUCUCCCUGGUGCACUCGGCGCCGCUCAGGCCAGCAUCGGUUUCAGCGGUGGGAUAAAGGCCUAGGGAACGUGGGUCGCCUCGGCGACCGUUAUAGCCCUAGGUGCAAUGCUGCCUGCUGGGACUGAGGACCGCGCUUCGGCUAGGAUGCUGGCGUAAUGGUUGUAAGCGACCCGUCUUGAAACACGGACCAAGGAGUCUAACAUUUAUGCGAGUGUUUGGGUGUUAAACCCAUACGCGUAAUGAAAGUGAACGGAGGUGAGAACCCUUUAGGGUGCAUCAUCGACCGAUCCUGAUGUCUUCGGAUGGAUUUGAGUAAGAGCAUAACUGUUGGGACCCGAAAGAUGGUGAACUAUGCCUAGAUAGGGUGAAGCCAGAGGAAACUCUGGUGGAGGCUCGCAGCGGUUCUGACGUGCAAAUCGAUCGUCAAAUCUGGGUAUAGGGGCGAAAGACUAAUCGAACCAUGAGACCUAGCUUCUAGGUGG
rnacentral:rRNA from 1 species